rnacentral:rRNA from 1 species
AACGAACGCUGGCGGCAGGCCUAACACAUGCAAGUCGAACGGACCCUUCGGGGUUAGUGGCGCACGGGUGCGGAACACGUGGGAAUAUACCCUUAGGUAAGGAAUAAUGUCUGGAAACGGGCACUAAUACCUUAUAAUGACUUCGGUCCAAAGAUUUAUCGCCUAAGGAUUAGCCCGCGUCUGAUUAGAUAGUUGGUGAGGUAAUGGCUCACCAAGUCUACGAUCAGUAGGGGGUCUGAGAGGAUGAUCCCCCACACUGGUACUGAGACACGGACCAGACUCCUACGGGAGGCAGCAGUGAGGAAUAUUGCGCAAAUGGAGGAAACUCUGACGCAGCCAUGCCGCGUGAGUGAAGAAGGCCUUA